rnacentral:rRNA from 1 species
CGCGACCCCAGGUCAGGCGGGGCUACCCGCUGAGUUUAAGCAUAU